CCCGGCGCGCUGGGUCCAGUGGUUCUUAACAGUUCAACAGUUCUGUAGCGCAAUUGUGAAAUGUUUAGGACCACUAGCCCCGGCGGGCCCGGCG